AGCUGUGUGCUGAACACAAAGCGAACUAUUCUUUCGCCUUUUACUAAAGAAUACCGUGUGUUCGUCACAUUAAACAGUAUACGCUUAUUUUUGGAGGGGCUUCUCUUCCGAGAGUCCU